rnacentral:lncRNA from 1 species
CGUGUACUAGCUGUUAGGGCUGAGAGCUGGGACCUAGAGAGAAAUUCAGUCAUGUUUGUCCUGGGUUCCAUCGAGAUAGGUGUGGGGAUAGGCUUGAUUUCUAUUACAAAUGAUGUAACAUUACAUAUGUUAGUACUCCUAACACUUCUUGGGACUGUGCCUCAGGGAUCACAACCUAUAUAAGUUUAGAAGUUCUGAAAGACAGUCAUGACCUUGGUGUAUAGGUUCAGAUAGUGUCCAGAUUGGAAUCCUGAUGCUAAAGACUUAGUAAGAGACAAAAAAAAAGGAGUUAAAAAUUACUUAGGGCUAGGGCUAUCUAGGUGCUACAAGGGCAGCACAAGGACAUCUGCUGUUGCCCUACAAUACAAGGCUUAUAGAGAAUUCAGAACUGCCAUUGACUCAGAUAUAAAAAGAGUAAAAGACUUUUUAGCUGACCUCCAAGAAUACCUAACCUCCCUCUCAGAGGUAGUCCUUCAAAAUAGAAAAAGAUUAGACCUGAUAUUCCUUAAAGAAGGAGUCUGUGUGCUAUACUAAAAGAAAAAUGUUGCUUCUAUACAGACCAUUCAGGAGUAAUUAAAGACUCCAUAAAUAAACUUAGAAAAAGGUUAGACAAAAGACAGACAGAAAAACACAUCAGAGAUAGUUCGAGAGCUAGUUUAAUAGAUCUCCCUGGAUGACUACCCUACUCUCUGCUACAGGUGGGCCAUUAUUAAUAAUUUUCUUGGUUUUAGUUUUUGGCUCCUGCGUGACAAACAGGUUAAUUACUUUUGUUAAAAAUCGAGUGGGUGCUGUGCGGUUGAUGUUGUGAGACAACAAUACCAGUCAGUUAGGACAACUGGUGAGACCAAAUACGAGACUUGAUAUCAAAAUUCUAAGAUUAGAAUUAUUUAGUAGGAGAAGACGGGAAUGAAAAGAAAAUUAUACGAAUUCUAGGUUUAAAAAUAUAAAAUUAAAAGAGUUAGCCCCAAAAGCCACAAACUCAGGGCUAAGCCCUGCCGCCAGGAAUAGCAGGCCAUAAAGAUAAAGAAAAGGAAUACAAGAACCAGCUCAGGCUAUCGAGGACUGAGCCAUAAACCAUCCAAAGACAUCCCCCCAGCUUACUCAGAGUCAUACUUUAACCAGAUGUCCUCCAGACCCUGAUAAGCCCCUACUUGUGCUUUUCAGCCAUUGUGUCCUACAGAGAGCAUUCCAGGAAACCGGACAGCCCAAGCCUAACCAGAGGUGUUUCAAAUACAAAUGCUCCAUCAGUUUUGACAAACGUUUAAAAAUAAUGAGGACCUGAAGACCCUACCCUUCUCCUGAUUUAGUAGCUCUGU